rnacentral:rRNA from 1 species
CACGUAGGGCGCAAGCGUUGUCCGGAAUUAUUGGGCGUAAAGAGCUUGUAGGCGGUUUGUCGCGUCUGCUGUGAAAUUUCGGGGCUCAACCCCGAGCUUGCAGUGGGUACGGGCAGACUAGAGUGUGGUAGGGGAGACUGGAAUUCCUGGUGUAGCGGUGAAAUGCGCAGAUAUCAGGAGGAACACCGAUGGCGAAGGCAGGUCUCUGGGCCACUACUGACGCUGAGAAGCGAAAGCAUGGGGAGCGAACAGG